rnacentral:rRNA from 1 species
AGGACGAACGCUGGCGGCGUGCUUAACACAUGCAAGUGGAGCGACGAACCAGGGCUUGCCCUGGGGCAGAGCCGCGAACGGGUGAGUAACACGUGGGUAACGUGCCCCGAUGAUCGGGACAACCCGGGGAAACCCGGGCUAAUACCGAAUGUGCUCCCCUCACACCAGUGAGGGAUGGAAAGGAAGCUUCGGCCUCCGCAUCGGGAUCGGCCCGCGGCCCAUUAGCUUGUUGGUGAGGUAACGGCUCACCAAGGCUUCGAUGGGUAGCUGGUCUGAGAGGACGAUCAGCCACACUGGGACUGAGACACGGCCCAGACUCCUACGGGAGGCAGCAGUGGGAAUCUUGCGCAAUGCGCGAAAGCGUGACGCAGCAACGCCGCGUGGGGGAAGACGGGCCUUCGGGUUGUAAACCCCGUUUCAGGAGGACGAAGCCAGGGCGGUUAAUAGCCGACUCGGUGACGGUACCUCCAGAAGAAGCCCGGCUAACUACGUGCCAGCACGCCGC